rnacentral:misc_RNA from 1 species
GCAAUUAGUGGUUCUCUCUGAAUAGUCAUGAAAUUCAAGAAUAAGGUUAAGAAUUUACCACAAAAGCAAAUUAACUGGUUUUAACUACCAAAUAUAUUAGAAGCCACAAGAACCUAGAACAUGUACCUAAAGCAAAUAUACUAAGAACUUGCAUGCAUAUACACGCACAGAUACACAUGCAUGCAAAUGCACAUCAUCCUAAGAAAUGUAAGUUGCAUAAAACUGGGGCAACAGAAAGAUCUAAAUGAUAAUGUUUAUAAUUUGAGAAAAACAACAAGGCUUCCCCAGGUCGAGUUUUAUAUGCAAUAUACUGCUAAUAUACAGUGUUCUCAAAACCAGACCAUACCAGGCCAUUGAAAUGGUUAAACCAGGAAAAAGAACCAAUUUGAUCCAGU